rnacentral:rRNA from 1 species
UACAGAGGCCCCAAGCGUUACUGAGAAUCACUGGGUUUAAAGGGUGCGUAGGUGGCGCGUUAAGUCCGUUGUGAAAGCCCGGGGCUCAACUCCGGAAUUGCCUUUAAGACUGCAUCGCUAGAAUUGUGGAGAGGUAAGUGGAAUUCCGAGUGUAGAGGUGAAAUUCGUAGAUAUUCGGAAGAACACCAGUGGCGAAGGCGACUUACUGGACACAUAUUGACGCUGAGGUGCGAAAGCGUGGGGAGCAAACAGG